CAUGAAAAAUAUAUUUUUGUAGUAUCAAUGUACGAAUUUAGGUCAUUAGAUAUUCAGAUGAUUAAUGAGGCUGAUUAAAAUAUGAAAAUGUUUGGUAUAGAGAUCUAAUAUACAAUACAAGAUAGAAGGCAUACCAACAAAACAAUCUUUUGAUGGAUCAUAAUACCUUCCGCAAGAGUUCAAAAAAGGUUAUGUGAGAUGUUUGUAGAAUUCGUCGAGCACUGAUAUAAAGGCCACAUGGAUUCAAUCAAAUAUGACAACUAAGAAGGGUAUCCUCGAACCAAAUUUGAGGGAAAAAAGCGGAUCCAGAGCAGCAUACUCGUAAAACCAUUUUCAGCUUUCAGUUGAUUUCAGUUUUGUCAGGGGCAACCGUAAUGGGUUUCCGGGAAAGUCCCUUCGGAGGGCUGGGCGAUGAAUGGCUAUGUGUGUGUGUGCGUGUAUGUGUCAGUAGCCAUGAUGUUGCAUGCAACUAAUUAUGCUUUUUACCAUUCGGUGGUUUGCUCUUUUGCCACUUAGCAACAACAUAAGCCGCUUAACCCACUAAAGCCACAGGAUACACGCACACUUGGAUAGCAAGGGAUAUUCUCACAUACAUCCGCAGACUGGAGAGUGCUGGGUCUCGGCCAACUCUCGUUCGAACUUCCAUUUCCAUUUCCAUCCCCACUCCCAUUCCGGGGGCCUGCAACCUGAACGGCACCCGGAGCCGCAGUUCGAAUGCAGCACAGGAUAAUCACAUCACUCGAAAGUUUUCUUUCUGAAUGGCAGCCAGCGCAAUUGGAUGUUGGCCCAGCGGCACAGGGACUGGAAAGGCCACCGCGAAUCUGCGAUACUGCGAAUCAUCGAAUCUGCGAAUCUGGGGUACAGUUAUCAGGGUAAUGUACUAUAUACAGAUUUGUGUCCGGACAACACGAGCAUUUUCAACAGCCAGAGUAAACCUGCAGAAAAGCCUACGGAAAUUGAAUUAGAAAAUAAAGAUAAAGAUAUUAAUAAA